rnacentral:tRNA from 1 species
ACAAAAAUUAGUUAAAAUAACAUUAGUUUGUCAGACUAAAAUUAUCGUAUUUAUGAUAUUUUUG